rnacentral:rRNA from 1 species
UACAGAGGUCUCAAGCGUUGUUCGGAUUCAUUGGGCGUAAAGGGUGUGUAGGUGGCGCGCUAAGUCGGGUGUGAAAUUUCGGAGCUUAACUCCGAAACUGCAUUCGAUACUGGCGUGCUUGAGGACUGGAGAGGAGACUGGAAUUCGAUGGUGUAGCAGUGAAAUGCGUAGAGAUCAUGAGGAAGACCAGUGGCGAAGGCGGGUCUCUGGACAGUUCCUGACACUGAGACACGAAGGCUAGGGGAGCAAACGGG